CGGGAGUAAUGUCUGGGAAACUGCCUGAUGGAGGGGGAUAACUGCUGGAAACGGUAGCUAAUACCGCAUAACGUCGCAAGACCAAAGAGGGGGACCGUUCGGGCCUCUUGCCAUCGGAUGUGCCCAGAUGGGAUUAGCUAGUAGGUGGGGUAACGGCUCACCUAGGCGAUGAUCCCUAGCUGGUCUGAGAGGAUGACCAGCCACACUGGAACUGAGACACGGUCCAG
rnacentral:rRNA from 1 species